rnacentral:rRNA from 1 species
GGAAUAUUGGACAAUGGGCGCAAGCCUGAUCCAGCCAUGCCGCGUGAGUGAUGAAGGCCCUAGGGUUGUAAAGCUCUUUCGCCAGGGACGAUAAUGACGGUACCUGGAGAAGAAGCCCCGGCUAACUUCGUGCCAGCAGCCGCGGUAAUACGAAGGGGGCUAGCGUUGUUCGGAAUCACUGGGCGUAAAGCGCACGUAGGCGGAUCUUUAAGUCAGGGGUGAAAUCCCGAGGCUCAACCUCGGAACUGCCUUUGAUACUGGGGAUCUCGAGUCCGGGAGAGGUGAGUGGAACUGCGAGUGUAGAGGUGAAAUUCGUAGAUAUUCGCAAGAACACCAGUGGCGAAGGCGGCUCACUGGCCCGGAACUGACGCUGAGGUGCGAAAGCGUGGGGAGCAAA